UUGGGUCUAGUAGGUUCUGACUCGUUUACCUCACAUCCUCAAAGGCUAUAUCACUCUUUUAAAGACUGUGCCUGCCCUCUUCCCUCCUGUUUCAGGAGGGCCUGGUAUGGCUUGCUGUGCAUUAUAUACAAGGUGACAAUCGUAUUUCCCAGCUUUACCUAUAUGGACAAGUGGCUAAAAACGUGACUAGGGAGGGAGGCAGAAGCCAAGUAGUGAGGGGACGCAUAAGCAAAGGUAAGUCAUAUUAUAUCAUGAAGACAAAAAAACCCAAGGAAAGUCUUAAGCAGGAGCGUUCCUUAGCCAAACUGGCUAGAAAAAUCACCACUGCAUUUCAACAGAGACUGGACAUCACCAAGGGACCAAAGGCAGAGCCACUGCGGUUAGGGGCCAGGGCAGUCAUCCAAGCAAGAUGAGGCAGGCCAAGUGCAGAGCCACGUAGACCUGAGGGCCGCAUCCAGGGGCUGCGGGAGACGCCAGCUUUGCGGCACUAACUCCAUCUCCAUUUCUGAGCCUGAGAACACCAGCUGUUCUAAGCCCCACAGCAACACCUUCAGAAGAGAAUUUCUCAUCCAGGCCCUUGAAACAAAUCUUUCUGUGGGCCCAGGACCAGCAAAGAUGAAAAGGAAUGCCUAAAUCCUUUAGCGAACUCCUACACGUCACCUCUCCUGACAUUUUUCUCAUUAUAAGAGCCUCUUCGGGGAACGUCUGGGCAGCCAGAGGCCCAUCAGACCCAGCUCAUUUUUGAAGGAAGAGGUCCCUGGUGACAGAGCAGACGAUUCACGGAUGAGGAAACUGCCCUAGAGUACAUCACAAUUGGCCUGCAGAGAACCUCCACUCCCACCAACCUGCUUCCAGCUUUUGAACUCAUCUGCUUGCUCCUGCUCCUGCCCUUUAAAAUCCAUCCUCCACACUACAGCCCAGGCCUCCUCCCAUUUCUGGGAAAAUUGGCUCCCUCUGCUUGUCACCGUCUGGAAGGCUGCCCCAUCCACUGAAGAGCAGGAUCCUUGUGACCAGUCCCUGCCUACCACGGCCCCCCAUCUCUGCUUGGUGGAGGUUUUCCUGGAAGCCACCCUUUGGAAGCCAAGAAGGAAAAGCAGAGCCACUUCACUCUUGCUAACACAGUGGACAAACCCUCCAACCUCACUCCCCACCCAACACACAGCUGGCUCAGUCCAGCCAGGACGCUCCUCACCGGACAUCCAACAGCCAGAUUUCCACAUCAGUGUUUCCUGGAAAAGUGUGGCCACCAGAGGACUCUACCACAGAAGGCUCUCCCAGAGCUUCUGGAAUAGAAACGAGGCGGCUCCCGAUCUUCAUAAGGAGACAUUCACUUGCUUUCUUUCACACCUGAAUCUCAGGAAGGGAGUUAGGAAAGCUGAGAAACACCUGCGCCUCCCCUAUGCUGCCGGGCUCUCAAAUUACACAACCAAGAAGGUUUCCAAAUAGCCUCUGUGGACAGCCCAUGAACGCUCCUUCCAGCCUCGACUUUGCUCAAAGGCUACUAAAUCCACAUAGGAGGGAUUCUGUUCUCUGGAUCGGAAAGAAACAUCACUGUAUCUCUAGGAGGCCAGGCUUGAUUUCUGAUGUUUCCAGAGGGUUUUUCUCAGGCAAACUCACCCAUAACUACACACCUAUCUGGCUUGCUUUCUGUCUUUUUGAGUUGCACAGAGCAUUUUCAGUCAAAAUUUGCUACUUUGUUCUUUGUGAAGUAGGUCGGGGGAGGGGGGUUUAAAUUAUUAAUACAAUCUCUAUG